UGAUGUAAACAUUGGACAAGCUUUUUUACUAUAUAACGGGAUCAAACAAUUCAACGUUUGUUAUAUACAAAGUUAAAAAAGAAUGGCUGAAAUUCUCAAGUUUGUUUAUAAUGCUAUCCUUUUUGUUUCUUUGUAUCUUCUUGUAAUUUAUGGUGACAGAGAGUGUGAUACUGACACCGAAUGCCAGAAAAAAUUUCCUGGCGUUAAUGCACAUCAUUUGUGGUGCGAUAAUGGAAAUUGUGUGAGCUAUCCCAAGUAAGGUUAUCCUCAUGACAAGACUGAGGAGUAGUAUCAAGGUGUUUGUGUCCGAGAAUAAAGUUGAUAUUUAUUAUUUUACCUAUAUAUGUUUUUCUUUAAAAUUUGUUGGAUUAUUGUUUAUGUUUAAAUUGGGUUCUAGGCACUCAUAUUAUUAUGACAUUAGUGCCAAGUUUAAUAAUUUGGUCUACACUUAUAUUAUCUUUGAUCUUGAGAAAAAAUUACAUAUUUUAUUUUAUUUUGA